UGGGGGUUGAAGCUGAUCACCUUGGGCAAACUAUGUCGCCUCUCUGUGCCUUAGUUGCAUCUUCUGUGACUGCCCCCGGGCCCCUCAUCACAGCUGAUUUCCUAGACUAGAUGUUGGGAGGGAGGCUGCUGAAGGGAGUAAGAAGAGGCAACUGCUAGGGAUAAUGAAGAGAGAGACAAAAACAGAUUAAAGCCGAUAAACUGAGUGCAAAUACCCUCAAAAGAGAAAGAAUCCCACAGUGUUUUGAGCCACUUAGCGUAAGGAAAACAAAAUCACGUGAACCCAAAGCUCUUGAGAAUGUGAGUAUUGUGGGUAGGAGGGUGUCAUCAGAAAACAGUUGAGAAAAGGCCUUUUGUUUUCCCUUGAUGUUUCCAGUAAGGAUGGGGAGCAGAAGCUAAAACCAACCGCUUCACAGUGGAAGCUGCUGUUUUGUGCAAAACUGACCAAAGGUUGGAAACCAGUCAUCAGCGGUGCUAGCAAAUGAAGAGACUUCUGGAUUGGGUGGGACACUUGCUGUGACUUCCAGUGAUGUACCGACCUCCCAGGACUGCUGUGGAGAUCCAGUGAGAUAACGUGUUCGCAGUGUGCAGCGUGGUCCCCAGCACAGAGUCAGUGCUGCGUGAGUGCCAAUCCCUCCCUUUUCUCUGCUCUUCCUGUCCAUCUGUCUCCCUCCACUUUUCCCCUCCUCCCCUCCCCCUCCCAUCUUCUCCCUCCCUCGCUGCCCCACCUUCCCUCACAGAACCCAGAGGAUCGCUGGCCCUCCUGCGCAUGGGCAGUCAGUGCCAGCUGGACCCCGAGUUGGAAGCUCCAGCUCCGAGCCAGGAAUCGGCCCCAAAACCUUCUCAGCUCUGUCGCCCGGACCAGCUCAGUGGCGUGGGCACUGCUCCCCCGGCUGAGAGCCCCCGGCUGUAACGCCCAGCUUCUCCUAGUGGAGUCGGGAAAAGGGAUCCUCAGUGUUGAGCGAGCUUCUAUCUCCUCCCUCAGUGUUUCUGCCGCAGAUACCCAGCUUUCCCUGCACCAUUCAUUGAAUAGACUAUUCUUUCAAUGGAGUGUUGUUGGCACCCUUGUUGAAAACUGACUGUAAAUAUAAGGAGACUGAGGAUUAAGUCUUCUCUCUUUUUGGGGGAGCUCAUUAUCAAUGACUGGAAGUUGUAAGGAAAAAGAUAUUGAUUCAUCCUGAGAAAACAUUUUUCUGAGAGUCAGCAUUGAAGAGGGUGACCACUGAAGAGGGUGAUCAUUGUUCGAGUGAGACGAGCCCCGUGUUGUACGGAGUCAGCAUCCCAGUCCUGGACACGGUACUGUGCUGCGUGGUGGGUGAGGCAGCGUGGCCACGCAGGGAACGAGGAUGCCGUGCCGUUGGGCUGUGCUCAGGCCUGGCUCGAUGAGUUUCACUGGAGGGAAUUGAUCUUACAGAAGAUGGACUUAACUCAGGCCUCUUCAGAAUGGACAAAUGAACCUGGAGAAAGACAGUCAAAUCUGUGCAGACAUUGAAGUCCACGUGAACGUGCUGUAUCCCUGAGCCAAAGAUUGGACAAGUAGGCAGCACUUCUUGAGGACAGAGGAGUGGUUUUUAAGGUUCUCCAAGAAUGAAUCCCAGGGAACCGGGAUGGCCAGUUGUCAAACUGUGACUUUGCUCUUUGGACGGUGUGCCCACCAAAGGAGAGGAAAACAAGUCUAAACUUACUUUCCAGUUGGAAAUGGAAUGGAGAGUUAACGUUGGAAGCCGGGAGCGUCUGUCCUGUGAUGAAGCGGUCUCCAAGCCACUUCCACUGGGAUGUCACGUCACUGUCUGGGCCCCUUUCUCAGCCUGUGCACAGGUGACAGCACAGAUGUGCCGAGCCGUCCUCCCGGACAGGGCAGUGGGUUGGAAAUGAGUUUGGGGAUUUGGUUUCAUUUCAUAGGUUUCUGAGGGCCUUGGCCUGGCACUUCGAGUGGGACCAUUCCCUGUCCCACAUACUCGUGCUCUGGGCCCGUGCAGACCUGAUGUGGCCUCAGCCUGAGGCUCAGGGCCCAUGGUGAAGUGGAGAAUUUUAGUCCAGGGUCUGUGGAGGCACUGACAAUUCUGGGUCAUGGGACAUUGUCCAGGAUGAUAAUAAUUCCUCCCCGAGUUUCAGAUUUCCUUGCCUGUGAGACGGGGUAGUAAUAGUUUCUGAGAUGAUUGUAAUGAUUCAGUAAGGGGCGCAGCGUGUGCUGGCAGGUAGCUGGUGCUUAAGGAGCAGAAGUCGCAGUCACUCUGUCAGCCUCUCACUGUGUGCUCUGUGCUUUGAGAAGAUGUGUUUUUGGUGAAAGUCCUGCCCAAAUACUAGGGUCUAGAUGAAACGUUGUUCCUUUACUUUUCCUUUCUUUUGCUCCUUCCUUUCUCUGCGUCUCAUGUGUAGGGAGCAGAUUCCUCUGUUUCAGGGAAUACAGGCCUUUCUAGGAAAAGGACAGGAUGAACGUGGAGAGGUGGGGCCGGAGGGGGUCUGGAGCAUCUGCACAGCGCUGCUUCCCUGCAUUUCUGCAUCCGGUCCCAUCAGUGCAUGAAGUCAGCCUUCCUCUUCCUUCCUGUGUCAUCAGGUCUCUGUUUUAUGGGAAAACCUUUUUUACGUGUCUUUUUUCACUUACAUGUUUCGUUCAGAUGCUUGUUGCUUU